rnacentral:rRNA from 1 species
UACAGAGGUGGCAAGCGUUGUUCGGAAUUACUGGGCGUAAAGGGCGAGUAGGUGGCCAUCUAAGUCAGACGUGAAAUCCCCCGGCUUAACCUGGGAACUGCGUCUGAUACUGGACGGCUUGAGUAUGGGAGAGGAACGUAGAAUUCCAGGUGUAGCGGUGAAAUGCGUAGAGAUCGGGAGGAACACCCGUGGCGAAGGCGGCCAACUGGGCCGGACCUGACGCUGAGGCGCGAAAGCGUGGGGAGCAAACAGG